AGUGAACGCUGGCGGUAGGCCUAACACAUGCAAGUCGAACGGCAGCACAGUAAGAGCUUGCUCUUACGGGUGGCGAGUGGCGGACGGGUGAGGAAUACAUCGGAAUCUACUUUUUCGUGGGGGAUAACGUAGGGAAACUUACGCUAAUACCGCAUACGACCUACGGGUGAAAGCAGGGGAUCUUCGGACCUUGCGCGAUUGAAUGAGCCGAUGUCGGAUUAGCUAGUUGGCGGGGUAAAGGCCCACCAAGGCGACGAUCCGUAGCUGGUCUGAGAGGAUGAUCAGCCACACUUGAACUGAGACACGGUCCAGACUCCUACGGGAGGCAGCAGUUGGGAAUAUUGGACAAUGGGCGCAAGCCUGAUCCAGCCAUACCGCGUGGGUGAAGAAGGCCUUCGGGUUUUAAAGCCCUUUUGUUGGGAAAGAAAAGCAGCAGGUUAAUACCCCGCUGUUCUGACGGUACCCAAAGAAUAAGCACCGGCUAACUUCGUG
rnacentral:rRNA from 1 species